UGCAACUCGAGUUCCGGGACAAGCGCUCCGUAGUUUCUAUGCUCCAGGUCCGCUACCUGGUGAAACUCGACUUCCAGGACAAGCGCUCCGUAGCUUCUAUGCUCCAGGUCCGCUACCUGAUGAAAUUCGACUUCCAGGUCAUGCGCUCCGUAGUUUCUGCGCUCCAGGUCCGCUUCCUGGUGAAACUUGACUUCCAGGACAAGCGCUCCAUGGUUCCUGCGCUCCAGGUCC